UACGUAGGGUGCAAGCGUUGUCCGGAAUUAUUGGGCGUAAAGGGCGCGUAGGCGGUGCGGUAAGUCACCUGUGAAACCUCUGGGCUUAACUCAGAGCCUGCAGGCGAAACUGCCGUGCUGGAGUAUGGGAGAGGUGCGUGGAAUUCCCGGUGUAGCGGUGAAAUGCGUAGAUAUCGGAAGGAACACCAAUGGCGAAGGCAGCCGCCUGGGCCUGAUCUGACACUGAGACACGAAAGCGUGGGGAUCAAACAGG
rnacentral:rRNA from 1 species